GGGCCAGUAGCUCAGUGGUAGAGCGCUACAUUCGCAUUGUAGAAGUCAGGGGUUCGAGUCCCCUCUGGUCCA
rnacentral:tRNA from 1 species